UGGCUAUUUAAAAUUUAAAAUCUCUGAAAGACAGCUGUCAGAUAUCUCAUGGGAAUGUUCACAUAUUUACAGAAUAUCUCAGAAAUAAUUUUAAAUUAUUAUGUAAUUAAAACUAAAUUAUAUAUGUAUUUGGAAUAAGAGGUUUUAAUACUGCAUUUUCAUAAAUUAAAAUCAACUCAUUUGAGAUUUCAAACAUUAUAUUUAAUUCAAUUGGUUCUUUUUCUCACCCUUAAAAACAUACCACAAUAACACUAACUUUGGCUGAUGCUGUAGCUGAGUCCUAACAUUUACU